UCCAUGUUUUAAAUGUUUAAAACCUACCCUCAUGUUUUGAAAUUUACUUUUGUGAUUAAAAGUUUUAAUUUAGACAACUUAAAUUUCAAACCCUAGAUUUUAAAAGUUUUAAAAUACAACCCUAUACUAAUAUGAUAUUACUAGAAUAAUAUAUAUAUGUAUAACUAAAUGCUAGUCUUACCGUUAGUAGGCCUCAUUCACGAAGCCGAUCUAUAAGGUGGGUAUAAGGUUGCGGCCUAUAAAAUGGCGCUUAAUGGGUGUACACUCACACCCACCGCUUGCUUGAUUGGUGGAGGGUCGUUAGCCGAACGGGUAGGAUAGGGCAACCUCAUCCUCUCAUUAAAAGUAUAAUAAGAAAUACAAAGUAACUACACAUAUUUUUCCAAAAUUUCCCAAUCCUAGUUACUUUAGGAAAAGUGAAUUGAUGCAAUCCCAUGAAAUUACACUUUGCACCUUGCUAAGAUGUUAGUGGAGCGUGUGUGGUUUACCGGCACACUAAUUGGUUCUAAGCGAAGGUGGCAAAGGGUGAUUCAUUGUUUAUCAUAGUUCGAUGGAGCGUGUGUGGUUUACCGGCACAUCGAAUAGGUGAUCGUUACAAUGAAGGCACCAUGUGAAUUUGCAUGGUAAUUCACACCCGCUUUGUGAUCCUCGGUAUCCCAGUCACAAACAAGAGGGGCAUAUCGAGAUUUAAACAUGCCAUUGAAUAGUUUCAAUGAAUCUCAUCCGAACCUAGGAAUUCUCAAAAACACUUAGGACUAAUAGUUUAAGUUUUGUGAUGGAGAAUUAGUGAAUCGUCAUUCACUUACCUUCAAUUUAUUUGCAUGUUAGAUUACGGCAUCCCUUUUCUAGUAUGUAAAUGUUAUUGUUGGAUCCUAGCCCUAAUUUUCUUAUUGGGUGAUAAUUAGGGAUUCUUAUUCUAAUCUAUCUUUGUCCUUUUCUAAUUGUAGAUGUCGAACGCAAACAACGCUGCUGCUAGUUCUUUCACGUUGAUGAGCCUUUGCCAAAAGGUCACCUUCGAUGGAACGAACUUUAGCGAAUGGAUAAGAUACAUUCGCACCAUUGCUCGCUAUGAGGAUAAGGAGUAUGUCCUCGAUGAGAAGCUCGAGAAAAUCAACCCCGAAAUCGCUACUCCGGCUGAAAUCACCGCUUUUGAGACUCAUGAGCGAGAUGCAACGAAGGUACAUUGCAUCAUGAUUGCCACCAUGAACUCCGAAUUCCAAAAGUCCUACGAGGACAUGUACCCGUACGAGAUGCACCAAGACUUAUUGGAGAGGUACCACCAAAACGCGAGACAAGAGCGGUAUGAGAUUUUCACUAACAUGAUUUCCGCGAAGAUGGGUCAUGGAGAAUCUCUUACCGUGCACUUGCAAAAGAUGCAAAGGUAUGUCGACCGCCUUCGCAAGUUAAAUGUUGACUUCGGUGAAGACUUGGCGAUCGACAUGGUGCUUCACUCUUUGCCUCCGAUGUACAACCAAUUUAGGAUGACCUACCACAUGAACAAAGAAGAGGUCACCCUAAGCAAACUCCAAGGUCUCUUGAGGGUCGCUGAGAGCAACUUCAAGGACAAGUCUGUUGCACCUACUCCCAAUCCGCCCGCUGCUCCUGUCUUGGCUAUUGGUCAAGGAAAGGGAAAGAAGAGGAAAGCUUCAUCGAAGAACUAUCGCAAGGUGAAAGCCCGAGAUGGUGCCUCUUCUAGUGGGACCAAAGUUGAUCCCGCUAAGCCCUGCUCUAACCCGAAGGAGGCAGAGUGCCACCACUGCCACAAGAUAGGACAUUGGAAGAGAAGCUGCCCAGAUUACCUGCAAGCAAUCAAAGAAGGAAAGAUCAAGCCAUCUUUCGCAGGUAUAUACACAAUCAAAUCUAACGAUUCUAAUCAUGCUAUUUCUUGGGUUCUUGAUACCGGUUGUGGUUAUCACAUUUGUUCUAAUGUGCAGGGACUAAGAAGAAGUAGGGAUGUGGAGCAAGGAAGGAUCAAUCUAAUCAUGGGGAACAGAAGAUCGUCGCCUGUGACCAAGAUUGGAGUGUAUUCUUUAGUGCUUAGGAAUAGUUUGGUUUUAGAUUUGAACAAUUGUUGCUAUUCGCCAGAAAUGGCUAGAAACAUCAUUUCAUUUCAUGGUUUAUAUAGACAAGGAUUUAGAUUUUCUUUUAAUAAUGAGAAUGGUUCUAUUUUGGCUUAUCUAAAUGGUGUCUUUUACUUUGAAGCUAUACCAUGUAAUGGAAUAUAUGAAACCGUUAUGAUUGUUGAUAACUUAGGAAAUGAUGUUUUGAAUAUUGAUUCUUCCACUAGUAUGGAUAAAGCAUCCUUGUGGCAUUGUCGUCUUGGACAUGUCAACAAGAAACGCAUAGCCCAACUCCAAAAGGAUGGAGUGUUGGAGUCAUUCGACCUUAGGGAAGAUGACACAUGCGAGUCUUGUUUGCUUGGAAAGAUGACUAAGUCACCCUUCACGAGUACAUGUGAAAGGGGCGAGGGUCUAUUGGACCUAAUACAUACCGAUGUAUGUGGACCGUUUAGAUCAACCACGAAGGAUGGGAACCGCUUCUAUGUGACUUUUACCGAUGACUAUAGUAGAUAUGGGUAUAUCUACUUAAUCAAGCAAAAGUCAGACACCUUUGAAAAGUUCAAAGAGUUCAAGAAUGAAGUGGAGAAUCAAUUGGGCAGGAAAAUCAAGAUGCUUCGAUCCGAUCGAGGAGGAGAGUACCUAAGUCUUGAAUUCCACGAUUAUCUCAAGGAGUGUGGAAUAGUUUCACAAUUGACGCCUCCUAGGACACCGCAGUUGAAUGGUGUGGCAGAAAGGCGUAAUCGAACCUUAUUGGAUAUGGUUCGCUCUAUGAUGAGUCGUGCUUCACUACCAAUCUCUUUUUGGGGGUAUGCCUUAGAGACUGCCGCCCAUAUCCUUAACCGAGUCCCUACUAAGAAGGUUGCCAAAACACCUCACGAGAUGUGGACAGGGAAAGCUCCCUCGUUGGCACAUAUCAAGGUUUGGGGUUGCGAGGCUUUCGUAAGACGAGAUACUCACGACAAGCUUGAACCUCGAAGUGAGCGAUGUAUUUUCAUCGGCUACCCGCAGACAUCCUUUGGAUAUCUCUUCUAUAGACCGAAGGACAAUGUUGUCUUCGUUGCGAGGAGAGGAGUUUUCCGAGAGCGAGAACUCAUAAGCCAAGGAGACAGUGGGAGGCAAAUCGAACUUGAAGAGAUUCAAGAGUCGAUAGAUGAAGGAACCUCUACCGCUGGCACUCAACCCGAGGAGGAAACUCCGGUUGAACCGAUUGACGAAUCCUUACCUCUUAGACGUUCCGAUAGAGUUAGAGUUCUUCCCCAGUUUUAUGGUUUUCAUAUUACUACCGAAGGGGACACGUAUAUUAGUGAUGGUACACUAGUAAAUCUUGAUGAACCUAAUAGCUAUAAGGAAGCCAUGGCAGGCCCGGAGUCUGCAAAAUGGAAAGAGGCAAUGGAUAGCGAGAUCCAAUCCAUGUAUGAUAACCAAGUUUGGAAUUUGGUUGAUUAUGUGCCCGGACGUAAGACCGUUGGGUGCAAAUGGAUCUUCAAGAAGAAGACCGACGUGGAUGGAAACGUACACACAUAUAAAGCGCGAUUGGUUGCGAAGGGCUUUACUCAAACUCCCGGAGUUGACUAUGAUGAGACCUUCUCACCAGUUGCGAAGAUUAAAUCUAUUAGAGUGAUGCUAGCAAUUGCCGCAUUUCAUGAUUAUGAGAUUUGGCAAAUGGAUGUCAAGACCGCUUUCCUUAACGGAAAGUUGGCUGAGGAUGUUUACAUGGCUCAGCCAGAGGGGUUUGUGGAUCCGAAGCAUCCGGAUAGAGUGUGUAAGCUUGAGAAGUCCAUUUAUGGACUUAAGCAAGCGUCUCGCAGAUGGAAUCUUUGCUUCGAUGAGAAAGUCAAAGAGUUUGGAUUUGUACGAAGCGAAGACGAAUCUUGUGUAUAUGUCAAAGCCAGUGGGAGUAUAGUAAGCUUCCUCGUUCUAUAUGUCGAUGACAUAUUACUCAUAGGAAACGACAUCCCGACUCUGCAGGAGGUUAAGUCCUGGCUCGGGAAGUGCUUCGCUAUGAAGGACCUCGGAGAGGCUUCUUACAUUUUGGGAAUAAGGAUAGUAAGAGAAAGAAGUAAGAGACUAAUUGGACUUAGUCAGAAUACUUACUUAGAGAAGGUACUAAAACGUUUUAGUAUGGAAAACUCAAAGAAGGGAGAACUACCGAUACAAAGUAAUGCCAAAUUGAGUAAGACUCAAAGUCCGAGUACCGAAGCUGAGAUAGCAGAAAUGAGCCGAGUACCAUACGCUUCCGCAGUUGGCUCAAUCAUGUACGCUAUGACUUGUACUCGCCCUGAUGUAGCCUUCGCUUUGAGCAUGGUUAGCAGAUAUCAAGGGAAUCCUGGCAAAGCACAUUGGAUUGCGGUGAAGAAUAUCCUUAAGUACCUUCGGAGGACGAAGGAAUGGUUCUUAGUCCUCGGAGGGAGUGAUGACUUGAAGGUGCGAGGGUAUAGUGACGCCAGUUUUCAGACCGACAGGGACAACUACCGUUCGCAGUCGGGCUGGGUCUUUACCCUAAAUGGAGGAGCAGUGACAUGGAAGAGUUCCAAGCAGGAAACCGUAGCUGAUUCAACGUGCGAAUCAGAGUACAUUGCAGCGAGCGAAGCGUCGAAGGAGGCAAUAUGGCUAAAGAACUUCAUCGGUGAUCUUGGAGUUGUACCUGCCAUAAAGGAGCCCAUGGAGAUUUUCUGUGAUAACGAAGGAGCGGUUGCCUUGACCAAGGAACCGAGGGAUCAUGGUAGAUCAAGACAUAUCGACAGAAAAUAUCACUUCAUUAGACAUCGUGUAGAAGAAGGACAACUCGUAGUGAAGAGGAUAUCAUCAGAAGAUAACCCAGCAGAUCCGCUUACGAAGGGACUGAGUAGGGUUAAGCACUUGCAGCAUGCUAGGAGUAUUGGGCUGAAGGAUGAUAUUAGCAUAGAUUAGAUAGUAUUAGAAACGUGUAAUAGAUAAAUGUAAUUAACAUUUGAUGAUUAAAUAAAGGAGUUUUAUUUAUGAGUAAUGUUACUAUCUUAUGUUAAUUGUUUAGCUAUUGUUUCACUUUGCAUGUUUUGACUUCCAGAAUAAUUGAGUUUAUUAGGAAUAAUCGAAUUGUUCAAAUUGUCCACAAUCGUUCAUAUGUUGGAAGUAGAUAUGAAUGAAGAUUGUCAUGAAUUGGUGUGUAGAUUGUCUAAAUGGUGUUAGACAUAGCAAAGGGUUGCUGCAACGUUCAUGAGUGCUUAUGAACUAGUUUUGAGCAUUGGAACAAACCCGCGCUUGCUGGAAUCACCUUAUGGAAUAUGAUAUAAAAGGGUGAUCGCAAGACGAUAAUAUCAUAUAGUCUUAAAACCUAGAUAUAUGGUUUGUUAUUUGUUAAUUGAUUGUACAUUGAUAAUGCGAAAACGCAUCAGUAACUCGGUGUUAUAAAACGCAUUGUUGUGUAUAGUUGGUUAAUGAAUAAGUAAAUGCAUAUAAGUCGAAGUUUAUCUGUAACUUUUAUCUAAGAAGGUAAAAGCGAUAUCUCGGCCGCUCGAUGAUUUGAUUUGACUUAUGUGCCGGGCCCGGUCAGAACUGAAUUGAUGUGUUCGAUUAAGUUCUAUGUCAAAUAAAUCAGAGAUCGAGAAACCUAAAUGCUUGACUAACCAUUCCAUAGGAUUGUCAGCAUGAUAUCUAACAGAGGACUGUACGUUCCCUUAUCUAAAGGACAAGAUUGAUUAGAUCAGAGUUGACAGCGUCUUUGAGAGCUACGAUUGCAAACCGAAUUGUACUUGUAUAGUUACUAGACUUAUCCAAGUGGGAGACUGUUGGAAUAGUGUCUAAGGCUGUAACUAUAUUAGGCAAGUAUUUGACCCGGUUGUGCAUGGUCCUUUUGGGUUGCCUUCACCAUAGCAACUUGAUAGGAUGAUUUAUUAAGAGAGAGUAAAUAUUAUUAAUAUAUUAUGAGAAUAAUAUAAUGAAUAAUAUAUUGUUAUUUGAUUAAUAUAAGUCAUAGAAUUAAUUAGAAUUAAUUUGGUGACUUAAAGAGAUUAAUUAAAUAAAGGGGUAUAAACUGUCAAUUGUUUGAUAGUUAAGCUUUAGACUGUAAAUCCAUUUGGAUAUGCUAUGGACGAAUUCUAAGAGGUUUAGGAUAGCUAAAAUCGUCCAUAUGCUUAUCUUAGGAAUGGAUUUGGAUAGCCUUAAGAGAAGAUUAUCCAAUUAGGGUUUAGGUUGUAACCCUUAAGGAGUCUACAAGUAUAAAUAGACCCUAUGGCAUAGGGAAUUCGACACAUCUCCUAAAGCAAGGAACCUCUGGUCGAAUUCCUUCCCUCUCCUCUCUCCUAAAUCAUUCUUAUUGCUAUUGGUGUUUGUAAGCCAUUAGAGGAGUGACACUUGUGACUCUAGAAGCUCCAAGACCUCAAGAUCAACAAGGAACUCAAAGGUAUGAUUCUAGAUCUGUUUCAAUGUUGUUAUUUAACCUAAUUAGUCAUUAGAAGACUUGGAUUCAAUGCAUGUUUAUUAGAAAGCCUAGAUCCAAGCAUUAGGGUUUUGCAUGCGCACAUAGGAAAGUUCUUAUGGCUAAAACCCAUCAGUGGUAUCAGAGCCUAGCUUGGUUUUCUUUAAAUUGUUGCUUGAUUAACUGAAACAAACCUGCAAAAUUCGAUUUUUUGGUUUCUGAGUCACUGACUCGGCGAGUCCCAAGGUGGACUCGGCGAGUAGGCCUGACUCGGCGAGUCCCCUUGUGCACUCGGCGAGUCCAGGCGUCAGGAAUGGCCAGAUUCGGGAUUUCUUUGUGUUUAUCUUAUCUUAACUUACCAUAAACUAAUUAGAUCAACAUUAAUUCGUUUUUCUGAUAAAUAUAACUAUUAUCUUGAUCUAGUUAAAGGUAAUUAUCAACUAAUUAAAUAUUUAAUUUCCUUAUAUGAUAAUUAAUUAAUUAUUUUAAUUAUUUUGGUAAUUAUCUUAAAAAGAAAUCUUGAAUAAAUCAAAUAUAGAUAAUUAGGAUAUUAAUUGUUAAUUGGAAUUAUUUGUUAUUUGAUCCUCCAUGUUUUAAAUGUUUAAAACUUGCCCUCAAGUUUUGAAAUUUAUAUUUGUGAUUAAAAGUUUUAAUUUAGACAACUUAAAUUUCAAACCCUAGAUUUUAAAAGGUUUAAAAUACAACCCUAUACUAAUAUGAUAUUACUAGAAUAAUAUAUAUAUGUAUAACUAAAUGCUAGUCUUACCGUUAGUAGGCCUCAUUCACGAAGCCGAUCUAUAAGGUGGGUAUAAGGUUGCGGCCUAUAAAAUGGCGCUUAAUGGGUGUACACUCACACCCACCGCUUGCUUGAUUGGUGGAGGGUCGUUAGCCGAACGGGUAGGAUAGGGCAACCUCAUCCUCUCAUUAAAAGUAUAAUAAGAAAUAUAAAGUAACUACACAUAUUUUUAAAAAUUCCCAAUCCUAGUUACUUUAGGAAAAGUGAAUUGAUGCAAUCCCAUGAAAUUACACUUUGCACCUUGCUAAGAUGUUAGUGGAGCGUGUGUGGUUUACCGGCACACUAAUUGGUUCUAAGCGAAGGUGGCAAAGGGUGAUUCAUUGUUUAUCAUAGUUCGAUGGAGCGUGUGUGGUUUACCGGCACAUCGAAUAGGUGAUCGUUACAAUGAAGGCACCAUGUGAAUUUGCAUGGUAAUUCACACCCGCUUUGUGAUCCUCGGUAUCCCAGUCACAAACAAGAGGGGCAUAUCGAGAUUUAAACAUGCCAUUGAAUAGUUUCAAUGAAUCUCAUCCGAACCUAGGAAUUCUCAAAAACACUUAGGACUAAUAGUUUAAGUUUUGUGAUGGAGAAUUAGUGAAUCGUCAUUCACUUACCUUCAAUUUAUUU
rnacentral:lncRNA from 1 species